UUUGGUCUUGGAAAACUUACCCAAAGGAAAUUUUGAAUUUGAAUAGCAAACACACUUUCCCAGGUCAUUUUGUUUCUCUGGACCUGAUAGAGAAAGGAGAAGCAAGAAACUACCUCUGCCACCAUUUGCAGCCCCAAAUGAGAAGCAGUGUUCAAAGGCCAGUGCCCAACAUACAGACGGGCUGAUAAUGAUGUGAGCCUGGCAAAGACAAGACUACUCGGAUAUGACUGAAGAUGAGGAUCCAUGGAUGUGUAUUUGUGCAUACAGUGAAAGACCUCCCCCUGAACAUUUCGUCUCUAAGAGUCAAUAAAAGCCAUUUUGCACUUA